CAAUAGCGUAUAUUUUAGUUGUUGCAGUUAAAAGCUCGUAGUUGAAUUUCUGGUGGGAAGAUGCGGACGGCCUCAUGGCUUGUUCCAAGUCUUCCGGCCAUCCUUGGGUGGAGCUCGUCUGGCAUUAAGUUGUCGGGCGGGGGAUGCCCAUCGUUUACUGUGAAAAAUUAAAGUGUUCAAAGCAGACUUAUGUCGUUGAAUAUAUUAGCAUGGAAUAAUAAGAUAGGACAGCAGUGCUAUUUUGUUGGUUUGCGCACCGUUGUAAUGAUGAAUAGGGACAGUUGUGGGUAUUUAUAUUCACUUGUAAGAGGUGAAAUUCUUAGAUUAAGGGAAGAUAAACUACUGCGAAAGCAUUUACCAAGGAUGUUUUCAUUAAUCAAGAACGAAAGUGUGGGGAUCGAAGAUGAUUAGAUACCGU
rnacentral:rRNA from 1 species